GGUGGGAGAGAGCCCAUUACCGUGGGACACAGGGCCAGUGUGACAUCCGGGUUGCCUCAGUUUACCUUCCUUUUUUGUUCUCUCAUCAUUGUGCUAACUUUGACACUUGAUGUGGCACUAACAAGGCGUGAAUAAUACGUGCAUGGCUGAAAUUUUAUACAUGUUGCCUUAAAUAACGGCUCCUUGAAUCUGGGUGCUGCGGUAACUACAUAGGUAAGAGGUAAAGUUGGGGUCUCCGCAAUAGCUGCGCGUGGCCUCAGUGCUCACUGGGGAAACCUGCGGAAGGUAAACUGUGGUAAACUGUUAACUAAGGAUGCCACUAAAUGCUGUAAUACUCAGGGCCGGAGACAAACCGGCAUUGUGUGUGUACAGUCUUAAAAGAAACAUAACUCUCUCGAAUCUAAACCGGGGCCGCAAUCACCGUGUUCAUAAGUGACAUAUUUGAAUGGUUCACGGUCUCCCAACUUCAAUAUUUAUUUUGAUUUUGAUUUUUUUCAAAGAAAUUGAUAAGAGAAACAGCAACACAUUAUCACUACUCUGUUGUCAUUUCCUUCAAUACAACAGCAGCGAUUCUUGCAACUAAUUCUUCUGUUACCACCGAAAGGGUCCACAACGAGUCACACUUACAAGCUUUCCUUCUCCUAAGCUUUUUAACAACCUUCGGUGGCGUCACAGCAGCUUCCCGUGAAGGUAGUUUUUCUUCUUUCUCUGUUACUGUGAUUUCAUUCGUUUCAUUGGCUGGCAGAAUCUCCUUUGUUAUCUCUGUUCGUUCUACUCUCAGAGGUCCAUCGCCAUUUUCUGUAACAUUCUUAGUCUCCACAGAAGCCUCCUUAAUGGUUUCCUGUGAAGGUAGUUUUUCUUCUUUUUCUGUUACUAUAACUUCAUUCGUUUUAUUGCCGGGCAGAAUCUCCUUUGUUAUCUCUGUUCGUUCUACUCUCAGAGGUCCAUCGCCAUUUUCUGUAACAUUCUUAGUCUCCACAGAAGUCUCCUUAAUGGCUUCCUGUGAAGGUAGUUUUUCUUCUUUUUCUGUUACUACAACUUCAUUCGUUUUAUUGCCGGGCAGAAUCUCCUUUGUUAUCUCUGUUCGCACUGUUAUCAGAGGUCCAUCACCAUUUUCUGUAACAUUCUUAGUCUCCACAGAAGUCUCCUUAAUGGUUUCCUGUGAAGGUAGUUUUUCUUCUUUCUCUGUUACUAAAGUUUCAUUCGUUUUAUUGCCGGGCAGAAUCUCCUUUGUUAUCUCUGUUCGUUCUGUUAUCAGAGGUCUAUCGCCAUUUUCUGUAACAUUCUUAGUCUCGAGAGAAGAUUCCUUAAUGGCUUCCUGUGAAGGUAGUUUUUCUUCUUUUUCUGUUACUUCAACUUCAUUCGUUUUAUUGCCAGGCAGAAUCUCCUUUGUUAUCUCUGUUCGUUCUGUUAUCAGAGGUCCAUCGACAUUUUCUGUAACAUUCUUAGUCUCGAGAGAAGUCUCCUUAAUGGUUUCCUGUGAAGGUAGUUUUUCUUCUUUUUCUGUUAUUACAACUUCAUUCGUUUUAUUGCCGGGCAGAAUCUCCUUUGUUAUCUCUGUUCGUUCUACUUUAUGAGGUCCAUCGCUCUUUUCUGUAGCGUUCCUACCCUCCACAAAUGUCAUCGUAAUGCUUUUCUGUGAAGGUAGUCUUUCUUCUUUCUCUGUUACUAAAGUUUCAUUCGUUUUAUUGCCGGGCAGAAUCUCCUUUGUUAUCUCUGUUCGUACUUCUUUAUGAGGUCCAUCGCUCUUUUCUGUAGCGUUCCCCCCCUCCACAAAUGUCAUCGUAAUGCUGUUCUGUGAAGGUAGUCUUUCUUCUUUCUCUGUUACUAAAGUUUCAUUCGUUUUAUUGCCUGGCAGAAUCUCCUUUGUUACCUCUGUUCGUUCUACUUUAUGAGUUGCGGCUUUAUCGUCCUUCGGCUUUUCUUCAGUGGCAUUGGUAAGAGGCUGUACUGUUGCUUCCUUCUUUAUAACAACUUUUUCGUUAAUUUCAUUACCCUCUUCCUCCGUGACCUUUUUCACGUCCACUUUUGUGUUAGGGACCCGCUGUUUGGAGUGGUUUCCGUCAGCGUUUCCCUCUCUGUGACAGAUUUUUCGCCGCUUUCUUUACCUUCCUCAUCAAUAACAACCUGUGUUUCCGUAGUCUUUGAUACAUUUCCGUUGGGCAUUACGUCAGUUUCUGUAGUCUUUUCAACGACUGUCUUGUUUCCGGUUACAUGCCCCGUUUCAUCUGUAUUAUUAUAGACUUUCCUCUCCACGGUCUUGAUGGUGUCAUUAGUGCCACUGUCCAUGCUCUUUAAAUCAGACAAUUUGGGUAAAUCGUUGAGUC